rnacentral:rRNA from 1 species
UCCUGGCUGUAAACGAUGGGCACUAAGUGUGGGGAGAUUCGACCCUCUCUGCGCCGGAGCUAACGCAUUAAGUGCCCCGCCUGGGGAGUACGGCCGCAAGGCUAAAACUCAAAGGAAUUGACGGGGGCCCGCACAAGCGGUGGAGCAUGUGGUUCAAUUCGAUGCUACGCGAAGAACCUUACCUGGGUUUGACAUGUUGGUGAAAUCCCGCGGAAACGCGGGACCUCCUUCGGGACACCAACACAGGUGGUGC